UUAAAGAGAUUUAUUUAUAUAAAUAGGCUUGGUAGCUGAUUGUAUAUAUAUGCUGGCGGCGCAAGCUCUGCUUUUAAUAGGCAACCAGUAAUAUAAGCAAGUCUUUGCCAACAAGCCUAUAAUUAUAUUAACUCUAAGAGAAAUCUAAUAAUAAACGAAGUGAAUUGAAAUAUCUUAUUAACUUUAGGAAAAGAAAUCAAAAGAGAUUCUAUGAUUAGCGUGAGCUAAAAUAGACUAGCCUAGAAAGUCAAAUGGUGGAUAAACUGUUUAAAUUAAAUGGGGAACCUUCCUCAAAGGCUAAAUAUAAUAUAUAAGCGAUAGUGGAGAGUACCGUGAGGGAACCAAAACAAAAACAGUAAUUUUAUAAGCAGUUCGGAAAAAUAAAAAAGUUAGAACGUACCUUUUGCAUAAUGGGUCACCAAGUUAACAUUAGAUGCGAGAUUAUACGUAGUUAAACCGAGCGUUAAAAUAACGGUAAGUGUCUAAAGUUAGACCCGAAGCCUGGUGAUUUUACCAUAAUCAGGAUUAUAAAAGUCCGAACGGAAUAUUGUAGCAUAAAUAUCCGAAGAAUUAUGGUAGGUGUAGUGAAAGACAAUACUGACCAGGAUAGCUGGUUUUCUGCGAAACCUAUAACAGUAGGCAAUUUAAGUAUAAUAUCUUAGCAGGUACAGAAUUUAAUCUCAGACAAGACAUAAGGCUUAGCUUGCUAGCAAGUUAAGCCCGUUUUAUUUUGUACAAAUUGGGGGAUCAUGAAGAUUUUAUCAGUGAGUAUGUAGACUCGGAAUGGCAAAGAUAUAUCUUAAAUCAUCAGACAUAGAAUGAUAAGGUUGUAUGUCAAAAGGGAAACAGCCCAGAACAAGAGUUAAGGUUCCUAAAUUAUUAGUUGAGUGAAAUUAAGAAGGUUUUUAUUAAAGUCGACAAGGAGAUAGGCUUAGAAGCAGCCAUAAUUUUAUGACCUCGUAACAGAGCGCUUGUUAAGUUUUAAAAGCAUCGAAAAUUUAUCGGAUCUAAACAAUAUACCGAAACCUUGUCCAUAUUAUUUUAUAAUUAAUUAUAAUUAAAUGGGGUAGCAGAACGUUGAGCUAAAUUAAGAUUUUUAUUUUUUAAAUGAAAUUAUAAUAAUUUAACUCAAGUGAUAAUGGUGACAUGAGUAACUAAAAGAAAAUUUUCCGCCUAAAGCUUAUGGAUGUAAUUAAGUAACGGCCUCUAAGUUUAUAUUAUCUAAAGAUUUAAACGAUGAGACAAUCUUUUGUACUAAGGACGACAUUUUAAGUGAAAAAUGUACUGGAAAAAUAGUAAUAAAUUUAUUAAGCUAUGGCUAGAACUAGCUAUAGCUAUAAAUGAAAAGUAACCGUACCUAGAAUCUGAAACAAGUAAGCUAGUAGAGAAUACGAAGGCGUAAAUGAGCUAACAAUCAUAAAGGAACUCGGCAAAUUGACUACCGUAACUUCGGGAUAAGGAGAGCUCAUUAUUCUUGAUUAAUAUCAGGUAAAGAGGAAGAAGCAUGAAAUAGUGUUGUACGACUGUUUAAUUAAAACACAGCACUUUGCUGAAAGAUUAAAAAUCUAAGUAUAGAGUGUGAUGUCUGCCCGGUGCCGGCUGGUUAACAGAUAUAAUUGAAUAUACUAAUAUUUGAUGUAGACGGAAACCCCGGUUAAAGGCGGCCUUAACGUGAGGGUCCUAAGGUAGCGAAAUGCCUUGGCCGUUAAAUGCGGUCUUGCAUGAAUGAUGUAACGAUACAACAGCUGUCUCUAUGAUUGACUCAGUGAAAUUGGAAUAGCUGUGCAGAUACAGUUUACCUCUAGUUAGACGAGAAGACCCUAUGCAGCUUUACUGUCACUAAUUAUAGAGUAUGAUAAACAAUUUUCAGAUUAUAAGGUAAUUGACGGCUAGCUUGCUUAGCAAGCUAGCUCUAUGACAAUGAGAAUCCUUUAUUUUUUUUUCAUAUGAAUGAAUUGGUUUAGGACCACGAGUUGGUAGUAAAUCAACCUAAUUCAGCUUAUUUUCCUUUCUGCCAUAAGCGCAUAAUGAUAGAUUAAACUUAAAUUUUGAUUUAUGCCUGCAGAAAUAGAUAAGUACCCUUGGUUAAGGAACUAUCGCUAGGGGACAGUUUAUGUGGGGCACAGACCCUGUAAAGAGUAAACAGGAGUGUCUAAUAAUUUAUAAUUAUUUUGUUUGCGAUUUAAGGUAGUAGGCUAUAAAGCUCGCCGAAAAAAAAAUGUAUUUUUUUUUUUACUGGCGAAGCUAGCUACAACUAUUUUUAAUCAUAUAAAAUUAUUUAUAUGUACAUUCGUUGUAUAUAUAUUUAAAAAAAGGUAGGAUUUUCACUAUAUA
rnacentral:rRNA from 1 species